GUAACGCGUAGGCAACCUGCCCUUCAGAUGGGGACAACACCUCGAAAGGGGUGCUAAUACCGAAUGACGUUGCGGAGUCGCAUGACUUUGCAACCAAAGGCCGGGCAACCGGUCACUGAAGGAUGGGCCUGCGUCUGAUUAGCUAGUUGGUGGGGUAACGGCCCACCAAGGCGACGAUCAGUAGCCGGUCUGAGAGGAUGAACGGCCACAUUGGGACUGAGACACGGCCCAAACUCCUACGGGAGGCAGCAGUGGGGAAUCUUCCGCAAUGGGCGCAAGCCUGACGGAGCAACGCCGCGUGAGUGAAGAAGGUUUUCGGAUCGUAAAGCUCUGUUGAGAGGGACGAGAGAUAUAAUCAGGAAAUGGGUUAUAGAGGACGGUACCUUUCGAGGAAGCCACGGCUAACUACGUG
rnacentral:rRNA from 1 species